rnacentral:rRNA from 1 species
UAGGGCUCUGCCCAGCUUGCUGGGUACUCGAGUGGCGAACGGGUGAGUAACACGUGGGUGAUCUGCCCCUGACUUUGGGAUAAGCCUGGGAAACUGGGUCUAAUACCGGAUAUGACCUUACAUCGCAUGGUGUUUGGUGGAAAGCUUUUGCGGUUGGGGAUGGGCCCGCGGCCUAUCAGCUUGUUGGUGGGGUAAUGGCCUACCAAGGCGACGACGGGUAGCCGACCUGAGAGGGUGAUCGGCCACACUGGGACUGAGACACGGCCCAGACUCCUACGGGAGGCAGCAGUGGGGAAUAUUGCACAAUGGGCGCAAGCCUGAUGCAGCGACGCCCCGUGAGGGAUGACGGCCUUCGGGUUGUAAACCUCUUUCACCAGGGACGAAGCGUGAGUGACGGUACCUGGAGAAAAAGCACCGGCCAACUACGUGCCAGCAGCCGCGGUAAUACGUAGGGUGCGAGCGUUGUCCGGAAUUACUGGGCGUAAAGAGCUCGUAGGCGGUUUGUCGCGUCGUCUGUGAAAUUCUGCAGCUUAACUGUAGGCGUGCAGGCGAUACGGGCAGACUUGAGUACUACAGGGGAGA